CGUUUAGGGGUAAACCUGAGAAACCCGAAAGGUCGAAGGGAGAAAUUCAUUCGCGUCUCGCAGCAAGCUCGUUCGGGGUACGUGACGGAAGACGUUCGCGCGUUUUCCGCAUUUCCCGUUCGAUGAUCUGGCAGCGAACGCGUGCACUUUUCUCCUGGUAGGACGUCGCGAUCCGUUGGGUGUCGGUCUACGGUCCCGAGUGGAGCCCGCACGGUCAACUCCGAGUUAACCGUUCGGACCUCGGGCGCCCGACCGACUCGCUCGACGGUAUAACUGAAAGGUUCGAGGCCGCUCUCGUAGCGUCCGUUCCGCGGCAAGUACGUCAGUCGCGUCAGCGAUCGGACCCGGUGCCGAUCCGCGGACAGCUGGCGAUUACUGGCCGCGUUCUCUCGGACAGACCUCGUGACCGAUCGGCGACGCUAUAGCUUUGGGUACUUUCAGGACCCGUCUUGAAACACGGACCAAGGAGUCUAGCAUGUGCGCGAGUCAUUGGGAUUAAAUAAACAGAAAGGCGCAAAGAAAGUAAAGGUCUUCCUUGCGAAGCCCGAGGGAAGACGGGCGUGUMUCGGCCUUAAAACCGACCGUUCUGCAUUCCCGGGGCGUCUCGUUCUCAUCGCGAGAAGAGGCGCACCAAGAGCG
rnacentral:rRNA from 1 species